ACUCCUACGGGAGGCAGCAGUGGGGAAUUUUGGACAAUGGGCGCAAGCCUGAUCCAGCCAUGCCGCGUGCGGGAAGAAGGCCUUCGGGUUGUAAACCGCUUUUGUCAGGGAAGAAACGCUCUGGGCUAAUACCCUGGGGUAAUGACGGUACCUGAAGAAUAAGCACCGGCUAACUACGUGCCAGCAGCCGCGGUAAU
rnacentral:rRNA from 1 species